GAUCUUGGUUCAGGAUGAACGCUAGCUACAGGCUUAACACAUGCAAGUCGAGGGGCAGCAUAACGAAAGCUUGCUUUGUUGAUGGCGACCGGCGCACGGGUGAGUAACGCGUAUCCAACCUUCCCCUUAGUAGGGCAUAGCCCGGCGAAAGUCGGAUUAAUACCCUAUGUUUUCCGUUGAGGACAUCUGAAGUGGAUUAAAGAUUUAUCGCUAAGGGAUGGGGAUGCGUCUGAUUAGGUUGUUGGCGGGGUAACGGCCCACCAAGCCAUCGAUCAGUAGGGGUUCUGAGAGGAAGGUCCCCCACAUUGGUACUGAGACACGGACCAAACUCCUACGGGAGGCAGCAGUGAGGAAUAUUGGUCAAUGGGCGAGAGCCUGAACCAGCCAAGUAGCGUGCAGGAUGACGGCCCUAUGGGUUGUAAACUGCUUUUGCAUGGGAAUAAAGUCGGGGACGUGUCCCCGUUUGUAUGUACCAUGAGAAUAAGGACCGGCUAAUUCCGUGCCAGCAGCUGC
rnacentral:rRNA from 1 species